rnacentral:rRNA from 1 species
UACGGAGGGGGCUAGCGUUGUUCGGAUUUACUGGGUGUAAAGGGCGCGUAGGUGGUAUUUUAAGUUGGAUGUGAAAUCCCUCAGCUCAACUGAGGAAUAGCAUUCAAAACUGAAAUGCUGGAGUGCAGAAGGGGAAAGCGGAAUUCCUGGUGUAGCGGUGAAAUGCGUAGAUAUCAGGAGGAACGCCGGUGGCGAAAGCGGCUUUCUGGUCUUGCACUGACACUGAGGCGCGAAAGCUAGGGGAG